AUGAACGCUUGGCGGCGUGCCUUAACACAUGCAAGUCGAACGAGGCUGGGGGGGCAACUCUCCAGUCGAGUGGCGGAACGGGUGAGUAACACGUGGGUAAACCUGCCCGGAAGUGGAGGAAUACCUCGGGGAAACUCGAGCUAAUACCGCAUGACAUCUUUCGGGACGAAAGUUCUGACGAUCAAAAGCGGGGGGGUCGCAAGAUCUCGCGCUACCGGAUGGGCCCGCCGCCCGAUUAGCUAGUUGGCGAGGGGGUAAACGGCCUCACCAAGGCUUCGAUCGGUAACCGGCCUGAGGAGGGGCGAUCGGUCACACCGGAACUGAGACACGGUCCGGACUCCUACGGGAGGCAGCAGUGGGGAAUCUUGCGCAAUGGGCGAAAGCCUGACGCAGCAACGCCGCGUGGAGGAUGAAGGCCCUUGGGUUGUAAAACUCCUGUUCGGUUGGGAAGAAAUCUUGCGGGGCUCAUACCUCCGCAAGUUGACUGUACCAGCAAAGGAAGCCCCGGCUAACUCUGUUGCCAGCAGCCGCGGGUAAUACAGAGGGGGCCAGCGUUAUUUCGGAAUUAUUGGGCGUAAAGGGCGCGUAGGCGGCCUUGCGUGUCUUUCGUGAAAUCCCUCGGCUUAAACUGAGGACCGUGCGGAAGAAAGAAACUGCAGGGCUGGAGUCCGGGAGAGGGGGGUGGAAUUCCCAGUUGUAGCGGUGUGAAAUGCGUAGAUAUUGGGAGGAACACCGGUGGCGAAGGCGGCCCCCUGGACCGGGUACUGACGCUGAGGGCGCGAAAAAAGCGUGGGUAGCAAACGGGAAUUAGAUACCCCGGUAGUCCCACGCCGUAAAACGAUGGGCACUUGGUGUGUCGGCGGGUAUCGACCCCUGCGGUGCCGAAAGCUAACGCAUAUUAAGUGCCCCGCCCUGGGGAGUACGGUCGCAAGGCUGAAACUCAAAGGAAUUGACGGGGGGCCCGCACAAGCGGUGGAGCAUGUGGUUCAAUUCGAAGCAACGCGAAGAACCUUACCUGGGUUUGAAGAUCAGUCGCUCGGGGGCGAAAUCUCCCUUUCCCGGCAAGGGGACGGCUGGUUAGGUUGCUGCAUGGCUGUCGUCCAGCUCGUGUCGUGAGAUGUUGGGUUAAGUCCCCGCAACGAGGCGCAACCCCUGCUGCUAGUUGCCAUCGGUUCGGCCCGGGCACUCUAGUGGGACUGGCCGGUGAUAAACCGGAGGAAGGUGGGGGAUGACGUCAAGUCCUCAUGGCCUUUAUGUCCAGGGCUACACACGUGCUACAAUGGUCGGUACAAACCGCUCGCAAAGAGCCGCGAAGGGGGAGCUAAAUCGGACAAAAGCCGGUCCUCAGUUCGGAAUUGGGAGUCUGCAACUCGACCUCCAUGAAGCUGGAAUCGCUAGUAAUCGCAGGAUCAGCACGCCUGCGGUGAAUACGUUCCCGGGCCUUGUACACACCGCCCGUCACAUCACGAAAGUCGGCCUGUACUAGAAGUCGGUUAGUCUAACCGCAAGGAGGCAAGCCGCCUAAGGUAGGCUCAGGUAAUUGGGGUG
rnacentral:rRNA from 1 species